rnacentral:rRNA from 1 species
GAAAGGAAGAUCCUUUAAGAUGGCAUCAUGAGUCCGCAUGUUCACAUGAUUAAAGGUAUUCCGGUAGACGAUGGGGAUGCGUUCCAUCCGAUAGUAGGCGGGGUAACGGCCCACCUAGUCUUCGAUGGAUAGGGGUUCUGAGAGGAAGGUCCCCCACAUUGGAACUGAGACACGGUCCAAACUCCUACGGGAGGCAGCAGUGAGGAAUAUUGGUCAAUGGGCGAGAGCCUGAACCAGUCAAGUAGCGUGAAGGAUGACUGCCCUAUGGGUUGUAAACUUCUUUUAUAAAGGAAUAAAGUCGGGUAUGCAUACCCGUUUGCAUGUACUUUAUGAAUAAGGAUCGGCUAACUCCGUGCCAACAGCCGCGGUAAUACGGAGGAUCCGAGCGUUAUCCGGAUUUAUUGGGUUUAAAGGGAGCGCAGAUGGAUGUUUAAGUCAGUUGUGAAAGUUUGCGGCUCAACCGUAAAAUUGCAGUUGAUACUGGAUAUCUUGAGUGCAGUUGAGGCAGGCGGAAUUCGUGGUGUAGCGGAGAAAUGCUUAGAUAU